rnacentral:lncRNA from 1 species
UAAGAUAGAAUAUGAAAGAUCAAGAAGUUAUAUAGAUUACAAGGUAUAUUUUUAAAGCCUACUUUAGUGCCUUUUAUAUUACAAAGUCCUUUAUUUUUCUUAUCUACCAGUCAGCCUUUCUAAGACAUGACUCAAAGUUUCUUUUGCAACAAGGUUUUCCAUUAUUCACUACAAACCACUCCAAUCAGUACUUAAGAUACUCAAUUUGCCCAUAAUUACUUGGCUUUUAUUAAAGAUGAAAUAAAGUUAAUUAUUUAAAAUAUAUCAGAACCUUUUAAUGAAUCAGUUUGUUUUUCUCUCCACUGGGGGGAUGUGCUUCUACUAUAUUUUCCAGAAUAUCUGAUAAUUAACAUGCUUUUCUUCAAGUCGGUGGGCAAGAGGCCUCUGUCUGGUGACGAUCUGAAGAUAUGAUAAUGCUGGCAGUUUGGACAGAAGUUGCUAGAAAUAAUGUAGGAACCAUGGAAAAUACUGCUGCUAAAUGCUGUUAUGGAAAGUCGUCAUAUUCGGUAUGAUUUUUAAAUUUCAUACAACACUCAGAAGUCAUAUGUUUGAGCUACUCUGUGACAUUUAAUCAUUAAUAGAAGAUUUGGGGUAUACACUACAGAUGGGCCCUGUUUGCUGAAAUGUUGGGGCCAAACAACUUGAUAGAGCCUAUGAUGUUCCUUUCAAGCUUUCUAAAGUUUCCACCAACCUCAGAUGAAAAUGUAACUGUGAGAAGUAAAUUUAACAACAUUGUUGUCUGCAUAUGUGUGCCAAAAUGGAAGACAGAAUCAUGAAAAAGAAGCUUAUUUUAUAACCAUGGUGGUGGCUCAUGUUUGAGUAGUAAUGACCUAAGCCCCAAAGGCCAAAAGUAAAACCUCCUACCCCAAACCCGCCUGUAACUGUCUGACCAGUUCCCGGAUGCAGUCAAGACGUCUACCUUACACAACAGAACUGGCAAGAAAAACAUCCCCAGGAAGCGGUCAGACACCUGGCACAAAGGACCCUACAACUCUUUUCUUUUUCCUUCACCUUGACCCAGUUCUACACCCUAUAAAACCUUGCUAUAGCCUGUAAGCGGGGCUGCCUCCUCUGCUUUUGUCAGGAGGUAGCCCGGCAGGACUGACAAUAAAUCAGCUUGC